rnacentral:misc_RNA from 1 species
CAUUAUAGAAUUGACGAUCAUUGAAAGCUUGGAAUUUCAGAAUUUUGUACUUCGAAUCUUUCACACGAACUCAGUGUCUAAACAAUUGAUCCGACAAUAGCCAAAUGUAUCUAUAACCAGUGACACUGCACGUACUCGUUUCCAAGCCUUCCAGGACCAUCAAUCAGAGAAAGCCAUUUCAAGGCUUCGUCAAGAAGCUAAUCGUUCAAGACAAUUGGAUAUCCCGAAAGUGUUUUCUCACACUCUAAGUGAUUCGAAGAGUUCCUCUUGAAAUUGUGCCCGAAAACAACUCUCACGUCCGGCUCGGAGGUUGAGUCCGGCUCCCUCUCGUCGCCGGAUAGCUCUUCAGGCUCGCAGGGUUCGGCCAACUGCUCGUCAUCGGGGUCGUCGUUCGUGCUGGUCACGGGCUCGUUCUCCUGUCACGGACUCCCUCCGCCAGCGUCCGCGUCCCCUCUAUGUCCACCGGGUGUUAGACUAGGGCUACGCCUCCUUUUCUCUUGUAAGCCGUUCACCAUGUUCUCUAUGGAUUUUAGUUCACCCGCUGAACUACCGCCCGACGUUAGGCCAGCUGUUGGUGUGGGAGAGCUAGUUGGAGGCCUUGGAGGUGGAGACCUUGGGCUGAGUGUCCUACUACCAGGGGUGACAGUUUCGAACGCGGAUCCGUGUGACGGUGCUGGUAAGGUGUACGGCGCGAAUCGAUGUCCUUUUAGUUGAUGUAGAGGACUGGCCAGGGGGUGAGGAUAGUGAGCGAACAAGGCUGGGUGCUGAGACGCAGCUAAAGCCAGUUGCGCGUUGAACAACAUGCCUGGAGUGACUCCACCGUGGAUUCCCAGGGGACUGGGUGGUAUUAGAGGCCCUGGACCUGGGUAUAACCCAGGUACCGGUGGAUAGAGGUACGGUAACAGGGGCGGAUGAAGCGGUGGACCAACCGAUACGUCCGGUCGAGGCCCUUCUGAACCCGUUGGGCCUGGUCCACCGCCGCUCUCGGAACCCGAUGACUCGCUACCCUCCCCUCUUUCGCUUGUUCGAUCGUCCCUCUCGCGAGAGUGUUCGCGCUCGCGCUGAUGAUGCGCUGGAUGGGGUGUAUCGGGUCCCACGACGUCUAGAAGUUUGUCCUCGUCAUCUAAGAGGUCGUUAACCGAGUUGGAAGAACGACGCUUCUCGGGGGAUGCUGGCCCACCUGCUGUUAGACGGGAACCGCCUCCUGACACUGUCAACAGCGCCUGCCUU